rnacentral:rRNA from 1 species
GGAGCGAACGCUGGCGGCAGGCUUAACACAUGCAAGUCGAGCGCCUCGCAAGGGGAGCGGCAGACGGGAGAGUAACACGUGGGAACGUACCUUUCGGUUCGGAACAACCCAGGGAAACUUGGGCUAAUACCGAAUACGUCCGUAAGGAGAAAGAUUUAUCGCUGAAGGAUCGGCCCGCGUCUGAUUAGCUUGUUGGUGAGGUAACGGCUCACCAAGGCGACGAUCAGUAGCUGGUCUGAGAGGAUGAUCAGCCACACUGGGACUGAGACACGGCCCAGACUCCUACGGGAGGCAGCAGUAGGGAAUCUUGCGCAAUGGGCGAAAGCCUGACGCAGCCAUGCCGCGUGAAUGAUGAAGGUCUUAGGAUUGUAAAAUUCUUUCAGCGGGGACGAUAAUGACGGUACCGCAGAAGAGCCCCGGCUAACUUCGUGCCAGCAGCCGC